rnacentral:rRNA from 1 species
UACGUAGGGUGCAAGCGUUGUCCGGAAUUAUUGGGCGUAAAGAGCUCGUAGGCGGUUUGUCGCGUCGGCUGUGAAAACCCGGGGCUCAACCCCAGGCCUGCAGUCGAUACGGGCAAACUAGAGUGUGGUAGGGGAGACUGGAAUUCCUGGUGUAGCGGUGAAAUGCGCAGAUAUCAGGAGGAACACCGGUGGCGAAGGCGGGUCUCUGGGCCAUAACUGACGCUGAGGAGCGAAAGCGUGGGGAGCGAACAGG